rnacentral:tRNA from 1 species
GGGAGUAGUUCGUGAUCUGGUGCCACGCCCGGUCUUCAAAACCGGUGGGGGGCGUAUCCCGUCCCCGGUGGGUUCGAUUCCCAUCUGCUCCCGCCA